UAAGCAUAUCAAUAAGCGGAGGAAAAGAAACCAACAGGGAUUGCCCCAGUAACGGCGAGUGAAGCGGCAACAGCUCAAAUUUGAAAUCUGGCCCCAGGCCCGAGUUGUAAUUUGCAGAGGAUGCUUUUGGCGCGGUGCCUUCCGAGUUCCCUGGAACGGGACGCCAUAGAGGGUGAGAGCCCCGUACGGUUGGACACCAAGCCUUUGUAAAGCUCCUUCGACGAGUCGAGUAGUUUGGGAAUGCUGCUCUAAAUGGGAGGUACAUUUCUUCUAAAGCUAAAUAUUGGCCAGAGACCGAUAGCGCACAAGUAGAGUGAUCGAAAGAUGAAAAGCACUUUGAAAAGAGGGUUAAACAGCACGUGAAAUUGUUAAAAGGGAAGCGCUUGUGACCAGACUUGCGUCCGGUGAAUCACCCAGCUCUCGCGGCUGGGGCACUUCGCCGGCACAGGCCAGCAUCAGCUUGCCGUCGGGGACAAAAGCUUCAGGAACGUGGCUCCUCUCGGGGAGUGUUAUAGCCUGUUGCAUAAUACCCUUCGGCGGGCUGAGGUACGCGCUCCGCAAGGAUGCUGGCGUAAUGGUCAUCAGCGACCCGUCUUGAAACACGGACCAAGGAGUCAACCUUAUGUGCGAGUGUUUGGGUGUUAAACCCCUACGCGUAAUGAAAGUGAACGCAGGUGAGAGCUUCGGCGCAUCAUCGACCGAUCCUGAUGUUCUCGGAUGGAUUUGAGUAAGAGCAUAUAGGGUUGGACCCGAAAGAAGGUGAACUAUGCGUGUGUAGGGUGAAGCCAGAGGAAACUCUGGUGGAGGCUCGCAGCGGUUCUGACGUGCAAAUCGAUCGUCAAACAUGCGCAUGGGGGCGAAAGACUAAUCGAACCUUCUAGUAGCUGGUUUCCGCCGAG
rnacentral:rRNA from 1 species